CCCUAACAACACAGCACAGAUCCCUUUGCUUAUUUAAUGGUGAGACAUCACGGUGGUGACCCCGCGGGUACUCCUAGACAUGGAUACAUAAUUUUUUAUUGCUCUGAGCUAGCUAUGUAGGACUACCUCGGGCCAUGAGAAUGAAAUGCAUCCGAACAUGUAUGAUGCUACUGAGCGAUGUUAUGUAUUGCUCCACUAUUUUCACCCGAGUACAUGGCAUCGAACUCAAACUCUAUUAGGUGACACCCUUCUUUACUCACAAAUUAAUAUGUCAUCUUUGAGAAAUAGAGAAAGCUAUUGGCCUCCGUAUAGGAAGCAGUGAGGAAUAGGAGGCACCGGGAACGAGGGGACCAUUGCAAAGUGUAGCUAGCAGCUACAUGUGCUUUCAUUUUUCACAUUGUUCUUCAGGAAAACUCUAACGGAUGCCUUACAUGUCAAUAUCAUGUCACUACAAAUGUUGAAUUAUUAAUGGAAAGCCUAUUGGACUUCCACCUCAAGAUGACCUAGUGGUAUUGGUGCUUCCAAAGAGAUCACCUACACCCCGAGCAAUAGCCAAUCUAGCAUCGCGUGGAGAUCUUGCAGUCCACCAACCGGCCACACACCUUGGGAUUUCUUUGACCAGAUAGGUCAGUGAGAUCACUAUUCUAUGGCGAUUUCCAGUGCAUUAUCUUAGUGUGGUCUCCUAUGAUAUGGUAGAUAUUUGGAUGCAACAACUCCAAUGCCUUGUCUUGUAGUGUUAAAUCUAAAACAAGCUUCAUUUAAUUGGCCUUGCGGUUACACUCGCAUUUCAACACUUCAGCCUAUUUGUGGCAUGAACUAACUCGGUUAAUGUUUCUGCACGCACACAACCAUCCCAACUUUGUGGCAUUCUCAUAUAUAUUAUCAUAUAAAUAAAAGGAUUCUUGCGCUUGCCGGUUACUACCACAAAUUCAUGUGGAGUUUAAUUUCUUUUUUCACAUGAUCACCAAUUUAUAUUAAAUAAAAAUGCAAUGUUCACUUGGAUUAAGGACCAUGCUACAUCGUUUUCUAUUCUAAACGAUGCCAUGAUCACUACACAGGAAAUGGCG
rnacentral:lncRNA from 1 species